GGAGACGGUUUCCUUCAGUUCGGCUGGACCCAAGACAGGUGCUGCAUGGCUGUCGUCAGCUCGUGUCGUGAGAUGUUGGGUUAAGUCCCGCAACGAGCGCAACCCUCGCCCUUAGUUGCCAGCCUUCAGUUGGGCACUCUAAGGGGACUGCCGGUGAUAAGUCGAGAGGAAGGUGGGGAUGACGUCAAGUCCUCAUGGCCCUUACGGGCUGGGCUACACACGUGCUACAAUGGUGGUGACAGUGGGCAGCGAGAUCGCGAGGUCGAGCUAAUCUCCAAAAGCCAUCUCAGUUCGGAUUGCACUCUGCAACUCGAAUGCAUGAAGUUGGAAUCGCUAGUAAUCGCGGAUCAGCAUGCCGCG
rnacentral:rRNA from 1 species